UACGAAGGUCCCAGGCGUUAUCCGGAUUUAUUGGGUUUAAAGGGUGCGUAGGCGGGCUAUUAAGUCAGUGGUGAAAGCCCCAAGCUUAACUUGGGAACUGCCAUUGAUACUGAUGGUCUUGAGUACAUUUGAGGUGGGCGGAAUGUGUCAUGUAGCGGUGAAAUGCUUAGAUAUGACACAGAACACCGAUUGCGAAGGCAGCUCACUAAACUGUAACUGACGCUGAGGCACGAAAGCGUGGGGAGCAAACAGG
rnacentral:rRNA from 1 species